GUGACCUCGAUCAGGAGAACCAC
rnacentral:rRNA from 1 species